AGCUCGGAUCAGAAUCUAGAGCAAUCCAUGAGUACAGUGGCGUACGGGUGAGUAACACGUGGGUAAUCUACCUCUUAGUGGGGAAUAACCCUGGGAAACCGGGGCUAAUACCGCAUAAUCUCGAGAGAGGAAAGCAGCAAUGCGCUGAGAGAGGAGCCCGCGGCCGAUUAGCUUGUUGGCAGGGUAAAAGCCUACCAAGGCAUAGAUCGGUAGCCGGCCUGAGAGGGCACACGGCCACACUGGCACUGAAACACGGGCCAGACUCCUACGGGAGGCAGCAGUGGGGAAUCUUGCACAAUGGGGGAAACCCUGAUGCAGCGACGCCGCGUGAGCGAUGAAGCCCUUCGGGGUGUAAAGCUCUUUCGGCAGGGAAGAUGAUGACGGUACCUGCAGAAGCAGCUGCGGCUAACUACGUGCCAGCAGCCGCGGUAAUACGUAGGCAGCGAGCGUUGUUCGGAGUUACUGGGCGUAAAGGGUGUGUAGGCGGUUGUUUAAGUUUGGUGUGAAAUCUCCCGGCUCAACUGGGAGGGUGCGCCGAAUACUGAAUGACUUCGAGUGCGGGAGAGGAGAGUGGAAUUCCUGGUGUAGCGGUGAAAUGCGUAGAUAUCAGGAGGAACACCGGCGGUGUAGACGGCUCUCUGGACCGUAACUGACGCUGAAACACGAAAGCGUGGGUAGCAAACAGGAUUAGAUACCCUGGUAGUCCACGCCCUAAACGAUGCAUAUUUGGUGUGGGUCAUUCAGUUGAUCCGUGCCGGAGCUAACGCGUUAAAUAUGCCGCCUGGGGAGUACAGUCGCAAGGCUGAAACUCAAAGGAAUUGACGGGGGCCCGCACAAGCGGUGGAGCAUGUGGUUCAAUUCGACGCAACGCGAAAACCUUACCUGGGCUCG
rnacentral:rRNA from 1 species